rnacentral:rRNA from 1 species
AACGUAGGGGGCGAGCGUUGCCCGGAUUCACUGGGCGUAAAGCGCGUGUAGGCGGUCCGUUAAGUCGGGUGUGAAAUCUCCGAGCUCAACUCGGAAACUGCACCCGAUACUGGCGGACUUGAGGACGGUAGAGGUCGGUGGAAUGGGCAGUGUACCGGUGAAAUGGACAGAUAUUGCCCGGAACACCAGUGGCGAAGGCGGCCGACUGGGCCGUUCCUGACGCUGAGACGCGAAAGCCAGGGGAGCGAAACCGGG